GACGUAGGGGGCGAGCGUUGUCCGGAAUUAUUGGGCGUAAAGGGCUCGUAGGCGGUUCGGUAAGUCGGAUGUGAAAACUCAGGGCUCAACCCUGAGACGCCAUCUGAUACUGCUGUGACUUGAGUUCGGUAGAGGAGUGUGGAAUUCCUGGUGUAGCGGUGAAAUGCGCAGAUAUCAGGAGGAACACCAACGGCGAAGGCAGCACUCUGGGCCGAAACUGACGCUGAGGAGCGAAAGCGUGGGUAGCAAACAGG
rnacentral:rRNA from 2 species